GCGCACGCUGGCGGCAGGCCUAACACAUGCAAGUCGCACGAACCUUUCGGGGUUAGUGGCGGACGGGUGAGUAACACGUGGGAACGUGCCUUUAGGUUCGGAAUAACUCAGGGAAACUUGUGCUAAUACCGAAUGUGCCCUUCGGGGGAAAGAUUUAUCGCCUUUAGAGCGGCCCGCGUCUGAUUAGCUAGUUGGUUGAGGUAAUGGCUCACCAAGGCGACGAUCAGUAGCUGGUCUGAGAGGAUGAUCAGCCACAUUGGGACUGAGACACGGCCCAAACUCCUACGGGAGGCAGCAGUGGGGAAUCUUGCGCAAUGGGCGAAAGCCUGACGCAGCCAUGCCGCGUGAAUGAUGAAGGUCUUAGGAUUGUAAAAUUCUUUCACCGGGGACGAUAAUGACGGUACCCGGAGAAGAAGCCCCGGCUAACUUCGUG
rnacentral:rRNA from 1 species